CCAGGCUGACGAAGGAUCCCUUAGAUCAGAUCUGGGGGAAUCCUAAGGGAUGCUACACAACUGGUAGUUCUUGACUUACAACCACAAUGGAGCCCAACGUGUACGCCGCUAUGCGAGACAGUUCAGUUAUUUGCUGCUGCCUCUUUAGUAUCAGUAUCAUAACCAUAACCUUGGUCAGAAGACUCAUUUAAAAGAUGUCUUUUCCAUGAAGGAGGAAUCGAUAAAUUCAUCUAAUAUAAAUCGCAAACUAAUUUGGAUUGAGCUACUU